rnacentral:rRNA from 1 species
CGGCGGACGGGUGAGUAACGCGUGGGUAACCUGCCUCAUACAGGGGGAUAACAGUUAGAAAUGACUGCUAAUACCGCAUAAGACCACGGUACCGCAUGGUACAGUGGUAAAAACUCCGGUGGUAUGAGAUGGACCCGCGUCUGAUUAGGUAGUUGGUGGGGUAACGGCCUACCAAGCCGACGAUCAGUAGUCGACCUGAGAGGGUGACCGGCCACAUUGGGACUGAGACACGGCCCAG